rnacentral:rRNA from 1 species
ACGCACGCAAGUGUGAAACUCAAAGGAAUUGACGGGGGCCCGCACAAGCGGUGGAGUAUGUGGUUUAAUUCGAUGCAACGCGAAGACCCUUACCAGGGUUUGACAUCCUGCGAAUCUUUUGGAAACGAGAGAGUGCCUUCGGGAGCGCAGAGACAGGUGGUGCAUGGCUGUCGUCAGCUCGUGUCGUGAGAUGUUGGGUUAAGUCCCGCAACGAGCGCAACCCACGUCGUUAGUUGCCAGCAUUUAGUUGGGCACUCUAGCGAGACCGCCGGUGAUAAACCGGAGGAAGGUGUGGAUGACGUCAAGUCAUCAUGCCCCUUACAUCCUGGGCUACACACGUACUACAAUGCUACGGACAAAGGGCAGCAAACUCGCGAGAGCUAGCAAAUCCCAUAAACCGUGGCUCAGUUCAGAUCGUAGGCUGCAACUCGCCUACGUGAAGGAGGAAUCGCUAGUAAUCGCAGGUCAGCAUACUGCGGUGAAUACGUUCCCGGGCCUUGUACACACCGCCCGUCACACCAUGGAAGUUGGCCACGCCCGAAGCCGUUACUCCAACCCUUGUGGAGGAGGACGUCGAAGGUGGGGCUGAUGACUGGGGUG